GACGAACGCUGGCGGCGUGCUUAACACAUGCAAGUCGAACGGAAAGGCCCUGCUUUUGUGGGGUGCUCGAGUGGCGAACGGGUGAGUAACACGUGAGUAACCUGCCCUUGACUUUGGGAUAACUUCAGGAAACUGGGGCUAAUACCGGAUAUGAGCUCCUGCUGCAUGGUUGGGGUUGGAAAGUUUCGGCGGUUGGGGAUGGACUCGCGGCUUAUCAGCUUGUUGGUGGGGUAGUGGCUUACCAAGGCUUUGACGGGUAGCCGGCCUGAGAGGGUGACCGGCAACAUUGGGACUGAGAAACGGCCCAGACUCCUACGGGAGGAAGCAGUGGGGAAUAUUGAACAAUAGGCGGAAGCCUGAUGCAGCAACGACGCGUGCGGGAUGACGGCCUUCGGGUUGUAAACAGCUUUCGCCUGUGACGAAGCGUGAGUGAAGGUAAUGGGUAAAGAAGCACCGGCUAACUACGUG
rnacentral:rRNA from 1 species